rnacentral:rRNA from 1 species
UACAGAGGUCUCAAGCGUUGUUCGGAUUCAUUGGGCGUAAAGGGCGCGUAGGCGGCUCGGUAAGUAGGGGGUGAAAUCCUGCGGCUUAACCGCAGGGCUGCCUUCUAAACUGUCGAGCUUGAGCACGGUAGAGGCAGAUGGAAUUCCCGGUGUAGCGGUGGAAUGCGUAGAGAUCGGGAAGAACAUCAGUGGCGAAGGCGGUCUGCUGGGCCGUUGCUGACGCUGAGGCGCGACAGCGUGGGGGAGCAAACAGG